GGGAAGAAAAUUCUAAGGCCAACGGGAGAAGGGUAGUUAAGGAACUCGGCAAGUUGACCCCGUAACUUAGGGAUAAGGGGUGCUCUCGAAAGAGAGCCGCAGAGAAUAGGCCCAGGCGACUGUUUAGCAAAAACACAGCUCUAUGCUAAAUCGAAAGAUGAUGUAUAUGGGGUGACACCUGCCCGGUGCCGGAAGGUUAAGAGGAGGAGUGAGAGCUCUGAAUUGAAGCCCCGGUAAACGGCGGCCGUAACAAUAACGGUCCUAAGGUAGCGAAAUUCCUUGUCAGGUAAGUUCUGACCCGCACGAAUGGUGUAACGAUCUGGGCACUGUCUCAACUACCCGCCCGGCGAAAUUGUAGUACCGGUGAAGAUGCCGGUUACCCGCGACUAGACGGAAAGACCCCAUGGAGCUUUACUGUAGCUUAAUGUUGAAUUUCGGUAUUUCAUGUACAGGAUAGGUGGGAGACUAAGAAGCAGGGGCGUCAGCUUCUGUGGAGUCAACCUUGGGAUACCACUCUUGAAGUGCUGGAAUUCUAACCUGCGGCCGUGAAUCCGGUCGGGGGACAUCGUUAGGUGGGCAGUUUGACUGGGGCGGUCGCCUCCCAAAGAGUAACGGAGGCGCUCAAAGGUUCGCUCAGCAUGGACGGAAACCGUGCUCUUGAGUGUAAACGCAAAAGCGAGCCUAACUGCGAGACUGACGGGUCGAGCAGUAACGAAAGUUGGAGUUAGUGAUCCGGCGGUAUGUGAGUGGAAAUGCCGUCGCUCAACGGAUAAAAGCUACCCUGGGGAUAACAGGCUGAUCUCCCCCAAGAGUCCACAUCGACGGGGAGGUUUGGCACCUCGAUGUCGGCUCAUCGCAUCCUGGGGCUGUAUUCGGUCCCAAGGGUUUGGCUGUUCGCCAAUUAAAGCGGUACGCGAGCUGGGUUCAGAACGUCGUGAGACAGUUCGGUCCCUAUCUGUCGUGGGCGUAGGAUAUUUGAAAGGAGCUGUCCCUAGUACGAGAGGACCGGGAUGGACGCACCUCUGGUGCACCAGUUGUCACGCCAGUGGCACAGCUGGGCAGCUAAGUGCGGAUCGGAUAAACGCUGAAGGCAUCUAAGCGUGAAGCCGUCCUUAAGAUAAGAUAUCCCAUCAGGUCAACUGAGUAAGACCCCUCAAAGACUAUGAGGUUGAUAGGCCUAAGGUGUACGCAUGGUGACAUGUUCAGCCUGCAGGUACUAAUCGGUCGAGGGCUUGACC
rnacentral:rRNA from 1 species